UUCUCUGGUGCUUCUUUAAAUUUCCCAUAUUCUCAGUUUUUUUUUCUUUUUUUUCACCACAAGCAAAAGCCUUGUCUUCCUCUUUCCUUCAUACAAUUGCUGUGUUCUUGUCUUCCUCUUUCCUUUAUAUACAAUUGUUGUGUUCCCUUUUACUCAAUUAUGGCUUCUUCUUCUUCUUCCUUGAUCACUUUUCAAUCGAAGAAGUACGAUGUGUUCAUUAGUUUUAGAGGUGCCGAUAUCCGCGAUGGCUUUCUCAGCCAUUUGCAGGAAGCUUUGCGCCAAAACGAAGUCAAUACCUUUGUGGAUGAAAAACUUGAUAGAGGAGAAGAGAUCUCAUCCUCCCUCUUGGAAAUAAUUGAACAAUCAUACUUUUCGUUGGUCAUUUUCUCGGAAAAUUAUGCUUAUUCUCCCUGGUGUUUGGAAGAACUUGUGAAGAUACUUGAGUGCAUGAAAGACAUGGAACAAAUGGUUUUACCAGUUUUCUACUGUAUAGAUCCAACCCAUGUUCAAGAACUUACAGGUAGCUUUGGAGCUGCACUUGCUAAGCAUAGAGAAGUUUUCAACAACUCUUUAGACAAGGUGGAGAGCUGGUGCCAAGCUUUGAGAGAAAUUGCUGGGAUAGCAGGGUUGGUUUCCCAUAACAUUAAGCCUGACUCCGAGCUAAUUAAGGAAAUUGUCAAACACAUUUCAGAAAAAUUAAAUGAUGUGUUUCCGAGUGAUUCUUUUGAUGAAGGGUUAGUUGGAAUUGAUUCCCGUGUCAAGGAUGCUCAAUCCUUAUUAUGCCUUGAGUCUACGCGUGUUUUAGGAAUUUGGGGGAUGGGUGGUAUAGGAAAAACUACCAUUGCUGAAAAAUUAUUUGAUCGAAUUUCUGAUCAAUUCAAUAGGCGAUGCUUUGCUGCAAAUGUCAGGGAAAAGUUUGAAAAGCACGGACCAGAUGCUGUACGAAAGGAAAUCCUUUUUCAAGUAUUAGGAAGGGAAACUUGUAAUUUAGGUCUGUCCACCAGGAGACGGUUGUCACGAGAUAAAGUUCUCAUUGCUCUUGAUGAUGUGAGUGAUUCAGAUCAAAUAGAACGUUCCAUAGGAAAACCUGCUAUCUAUGGUCCAGGUAGCAAAUUCAUUAUAACAAGCAGAGAUAAGCAACUGCUUAGGAACAUGGAGGCUCAAUUAUAUGAAGUUGAGAAAUUGAAUGACUGUGAAUCUUCUUGUCUUUUUCGCUUCCAUGCCUUCAAACAAGAUAUUGCAGGAAAAGAAUAUAUGGUGCUGUCAGAUAAGGCCGUUGAAUAUGCUCAAGGCAUUCCUUUAGCCAUUAAAGUUUUGGGUUCCAUUUUAUAUGGUAGAAGUGUGAGAGAAUGGGCAGAUGAAUUAGAAAAAUUCCAAAGUACAUCUGAUGAAAAAAUUCAGAGAAUAUUGAGACUAAGCUAUGAUGCUCUUUCUGCAAAGGACAAGGAAAUUUUUCUUGACAUUGUGUGCUUCUUCAAAGGGGAAGAUGUCGGUCUUGUUGAAAAUUUACUGGAUAUCCCUGGCUCAAUAAUUGGAAUUAGUCGUCUAGCUGAUAUGUCUCUUAUUUCUAUUACGAAAAACAAGUUACAUAUUCAUGAUCUGCUACAACAAAUGGGCAAGGAUAUUAUUUGCGAGGAAAAGCGGCUUGGACAACGUAGCAGACUGUGGCAUCCUAAGGAUAUAUAUUACCUGUUGACAAGAGCUGAGGGGACUGGAGCAAAUAAAGGGAUAUCGCUAGACAUGUCCAAAAUUAGAGAGGUGGAACUAAGUCCUACAGUCUUUGAGAGAAUGUAUAAUCUCAAAUUUCUCAAGUUCUACUGUUCAAUACCUCAUCAAAACAGAGUAAGCCUCUCAGAAGGACUCAUAUUUCUUCCAGAGGAGCUAAGGUUACUGCACUGGUAUCAAUACCCUUUGAAAUCUUUGCUAUUGAGUUCAUGUGCCGAGAAUCUGGUUGAUCUUCGCUUGACUAAUAGCAAAAUUAAGGAACUCUGGAAUGGAGUUCAGCAUCUUGGAAAUUUGAAAUAUGUUGACCUCAGCGACUGUAAGGAUCUAAUCAGACUUCCAGACUUGUCCAAAUGCCCAAAUCUUGAAGUUCUAGAUUUGACGUUAUGUAUGAGUUUGGUUGAGAUUCCCUCACCUCUAAAACAUUUGAGCAAGCUUACUACACUGAAUCUAAUGUUUUGUGCAAGUCUUUGCAAUUUACCGAGCUUGCUUCAUUUGGAAAGUCUUGAGGUUCUUCUUAUGAACAACUGCUCAAAAAUCAUACAGUUUCCAGAGGUUCCAUGUAAUGUAAGACGUUUAGAUUUAAGUAAUACUGCAGUACAACAAGUGCCCUCAUCAAUUUGUUGUCUCUCUCAUCUUUCUAAGUUCGAUUUGAAUUGUUUGAUGGGGCUUCAAAGUCUGCCAGACAGCAUAUGCAAUCUCAAAUCUCUCAGAAAUAUUGUUAUCUAUGAUUGUGCGAAUCUACAGGACCUUCCGGAGAACUUGGGGAAUCUAGAAUCUCUAGAGGAUCUUUUUCUAAGUGGCUCUGCUAUAAAAGAAUUACCAGACAGCAUUUGCAAUCUGAAAAACCUUGUGGAAUUAUCAGUUGAAACAUGUGCGAAUCUCCUUGGUCUUCCAGCAAACCUGGGGAAUUUAGAGUCUCUAGAAAGACUUAUUGCAGAUGGUACUGGUAUAAAAGAAUUACCAGAGAGCAUUUGCAAUCUGAAAAAUCUUACAAAAUUAUCGGUUAAUGAAUGUGUAUAUCUGCAGAGUCUGCCAGAGAACUUUGGUAAUUUAGAAUCUCUAGACGAGUUUGGUGCCCGUAGUACUGGUAUAAAAGAAUUACCAGACAGCUUUGGCAAUCUGAAAGAACUUAGAAUUAUUUACAUUGGUCACUGCAUGGUUCUGCAUGGACUGCCAGAGAGCUUUGGGAAUUUAGAAUCUUUGGAGCUUGUUAUGGCACCUGGCACUGGGAUAAAAAGAUUACCAUCUUCUAUCAAUCGGUUAAGAAAUUUGAGAACAUUAAAUUUUAGGAGAUGUGAAGGUUUGAUAAUCCCUGCUUUGGCAGGGAUUCCCCUUCUAGAGGAGGUUAAUCUAGAGUUGUGUGGCCUAUUAGAAUUUCCCAACACUCUUUGCCAUAUAGUGUCAUUGAAACAUUUGUACAUAGGUGGAAAUAAUUUCGAGAAAAUACCUGAUACCAUCAAACAACUUUCAAGACUAGUUGAACUUGAUUUAAGUGACUGCAAGAGACUAAAAUAUUUACCGGAGCUUCCAUCUCUCCUCAAAUUAUGUGCAACGAAUUGCACUUGUCUUGAGUCAGCAUCCAGUUUAUUCCAACUCCAGACUAUUAAAAUUUUAGAAUUUGACAACUGCAUCAAUUUGGAUGGUGAUGAACGUAAUAAAAUUGUGGACCAUUUACUGCAAACUCCUUGGCGAAAGGGAGUGGAGUUUUGUUUUCCUGGAAGUCAAGUGCCACAAUGGAUCAAGUAUCAGAAUGACUGUGGAUCUUCUUUCUUUCUGUCAUUUACACAACUGAAGCAGGUGAAAUCUACCUAUUUCACAUUUUUUGUUGUUUUUGACCCCAAAGUUUGUCAUCCUUGUCAUGUCAAAAGAAUUGGAUGUACAGUCCAUUCCAUAAAUGAGUCUGGACAUAGCCAAUAUCAAUUUGACUACUAUUGGGGUAAAUUGUACUGUGUUAAUGGUAAUCUCCGUGCGAAGGAUAAAAUCAUUCUUCAUUCAGAGCACAUCUUCUUUUGGCGUUCUUCUCUUAAUUUCACAGAGAAUAGCAUGGUCUUUCAAUUUUUUGUUGAGUAUAUCAAUAAAGGACGCAGUUACAAUGGGAUUGUUAAGUGUGGUAUCCAUGUAGAGGAGGAGGAGGAGCCUCCCUAUAAAAGACUGAAACAUGAAGAAGAUCAAACACCUCAUGUUGCUUUUAAGGUGCUCGGCAGUGGAUAUGAUUUCCCUCUUGGUAUAAAUACCAUCACUCACUAAUCAGUGGCAAAGAACAUGUCGUUUUCCUCUCCAAGUGGCAAAGACAUUGAUACUAAUGUUAUAUCUUUAUAAGGUGAGACUACGUUAUAUCUUUAUGAACUUUCAAAAUAUUUCUUUUGGUUCAUCUCAGCAUUGAGAUUUGGUACAAUUUGAAUUGUAAAUUUUUACCAAUCUUGGGUGGCAUGUUAUACUAGGAUGCAAGAUGGAUGUGGUUAUCACAUUAUGUAAGAGCAGCAAAAGGAAAAAGCUGGUUUCAGUAGAGCCAAGGAAUAUGUGGGAUAUGGUAUUUACAAUUAGAGGGUUAGCCAGCAUAGUCGACUGUCAUAUCAUUAAACAGUAUACACUGUACAGUUGCAUAUUGUGGCUAUCUAUAGAGUGGAGCCUAAAAUUCUAAUAGCUAACGGAAUACCUUAAGCACAGGCUUGUUCUGAAGUCAAGGUCAUUAAAAUGGAGGCUUGAAGAUGUGCAGUAUGUGCAGCUUCCAUUGACCCAUGAAGGCUUGCUUGUUCAAAGAAAGCAGCAUUUUAUGCUGAAACAUAAAGGUAUGGAGGAAUGGAAUGAUUGAUGAUAAUUUUUAGAGCUGUACAUAAUGGCAUUUGGACAUGUGAUUUCUCCCAUUCCCAACCUUUUUCUAAGAAGCAAUUUCAACAGUACCAAUAAGAGAUUUUUCUUCUAAUUUUCUUCAGAUUUUUUUGUAUUGGUAAUUUUAUGUUGAACUCUUUUUCAAAUAGGUAAUGAAGUUGGCCAUGAUUUAGAUUCA